AGUCGAGGGGCAGCGGAGGCGAGUGCUUGCACUUGCCAGACGGCGACCGGCGCACGGGUGAGUAACACGUAUGCGACCUGCCCGUAGCAGGGGGAUAAGCGGAAGAAAUUCCGUCUAAUACCGCGUAAUAUCUUUCGGGGGCAUCCCUGAGGGAUUAAAGGAAGCGAUUCCGGCUACGGAUGGGCAUGCGGCGCAUUAGCUAGUCGGCGGGGUAACGGCCCACCGAGGCGACGAUGCGUAGGGGUUCUGAGAGGAAGGUCCCCCACACUGGUACUGAGACACGGACCAGACUCCUACGGGAGGCAGCAGUGAGGAAUAUUGGUCAAUGGGCGAGAGCCUGAACCAGCCAAGUCGCGUGAGGGAAGACGGUCCUAUGGAUUGUAAACCUCUUUUGUCGGGGAGCAAAAAGGCCUCGUGAGGCCACAAGUGAGAGUACCCGAAGAAAAAGCAUCGGCUAACUCCGUGCCAGCAGCCGCGGUAAUACGGAGGAUGCGAGCGUUAUCCGGAUUUAUUGGGUUUAAAGGGUGCGUAGGCGGACUGGAAAGUCAGCGGUAAAAUCGAGAGGCUCAACCUCUUUCCGCCGUUGAAACUGUCGGUCUUGAGUGGGCGAGAAGUAUGCGGAAUGCGUGGUGUAGCGGUGAAAUGCAUAGAUAUCACGCAGAACUCCGAUUGCGAAGGCAGCAUACCGGCGCCCGACUGACGCUGAGGCACGAAAGCGUGGGUAUCGAACAGGAUUAGAUACCCUGGUAGUCCACGCAGUAAACGAUGAAUACUAAUUGUCCGGUCAGAAUGAUGACUGGGUGAUACAGCGAAAGCGUUAAGUAUU
rnacentral:rRNA from 1 species